GAUGAAGAACGCAGCGAAAUGCGAUACGUAAUGUGAAUUGCAGAAUUCAGUGAAUCAUCGAAUCUUUGAACGCAUAUUGCGCUCUCUGGUAUUCCGGAGAGCAUGCUUGUUUGAGUAUCAGUAAACACCUCAACUCCCUUUUCUUUUUUGAAAUUGGAGCUGGACUUGAGUGAUCCCAACGCUUUCUUCCAAGAAAGUGGCGGGAUGCUUGAAAUGCAGGUGCAGCUGAACUUUUCUCUGAGCUAUAAGCAUAUCUAUUUAGUCUGCCUAAAAAACAGAUUAUUACCUUUGCUGCAGCUAACAUAAAGGAGACUAGUUCUUGUGCUGACUGAUGCAGGAUUCACAGAGACAGCUUCGGCUGACUUUGUAAACUCGAUCUCAAAUCAAGUAAGACUACCCGCUGAACUUAAGCAUAUCAAUAAGCGGAGGA
rnacentral:misc_RNA from 1 species